CACAGAUUACACAAUAAUGCAAUGUAAAGAAGAAAGAGAAUAGAAACCACUGGCGCUUGAGUCGUGACCGCUGCAGUUUGAUCCCACCCGGACACCAAAUUUGAUGCAGCUUCUCUUUUCCAUUGAUAACAGUGCCGGUGAUGGCCCUUGUAUUCUUUCAGUGAUAUAAUACACACACCUCUCCGCCCUCAAUACUUUGUGUGCUUCAUUCACUGCUGAGUGGAAUUUGCUCUUGGCUAAAGCUUUGGUUACUAUUGGCAACUGGAGAGCAUCAAUAGUCGCCUCACUGAUGGAUCAGAUAAAUUUGAUUCAAUUCAGUUCGAGGGGGAAAAGGCAUGGCAUUUCAAAGGAACAAAAAUUAGGAUUAUGGAAAGGUUAAAUGGAGCUUGGAUGUGCUGUCGUUAUUUGUGAUGGAUGGUGGUCUAACUGUUGUGCAUGAAAUAUACACUUAAAAUGGUGAAUAGAUUUAUUUAAAGCAUCCUUUAGUCUCUUACAUAUCACAUUCACCCAUUCAUGCACUGGUGGUAGAGGCUGUUUAUAUAUCCAUGUGUGUGUGUGUGUGUGUGUGUGUACAGAGCUGGACACAGCCAGCAGGAGAAGGUCGGGGUCAAGUGUCUUGCAUAAAGAUCUGCAUGUAUGCAAGCUUGUCGCUUCCUAUCCCUCCAUAUUUCCACACACCAGGGAAGGAGAAGGAACACGCUAGUAAGGUCAGAGCACACCUCAUUUAUUUUCUGUCAAAUCCAUACCACCAAAGGGUGGUCAGAGGGUUCAUGUACUGUAGGAGGAGGGCCAUCCAUCAAAAGCAUAAUGUAUGUAAUAUUAAAAGUCACUGCCCUCCCAGAGCUCACAUUCACCUAUCAAUUCAUCUUGAAGAUUGAUAAGCAGCUGCCAUGGGACAGCUCAUGGCACCUCAUUACGCUGAAUAGGUGUUUUUUAUCUUGUGCAGCCGUGCAACACACCACUGAUCCUUUCCUUCUUUCUCUCCUUGUGUCUUCUUUUCUUUUCCUCCCCUCUCUGCUUACAUUCCUCUAUUGUAAAAAGAUAAACUGCCACUCUCAUCUUGAGCAUUUCUCUGUUUAUAGCGCCUCUUGUCCGAUAUGAUGAAUUACAGACACUCAGUUGGAGCUGAGGGUGAAAGUCAAAGGUGUAUAAGGAGAUAAAUAAAAGAGGACACUAAAAGAAGGCGGCAAAGUCAUGUCAGCGGGCCUGGGAAAGCUUUCCUUCCUAAAAAACAAUCACUGCAUCAUCAGAAAAAAGGUCAGAUAGGUCCAGAAGGGCCGCUUCUUGUAAGACAGAACCUUUCAAAAGGACGGAGGUACUGAUCGGCAUGUUCGCUGUUAGAUGUUACAUGUGAGUCCUCUCUGUCUGCAGGGGAUCUCUUCGCCAGUGACAUCACAGGUGACAGCGGCGAUGACUCAGAGGUGUCUCCCGUCCAGCCACUCCAGGAACACCCUACCCCCCUCCUUCAUCCUGAGACAAGAGGCAUCAUGGGUAAUAUGACUCAGCCCAAGUGCACUGAAGCAAGAGUUCACCCUGGGACUGUACAAGCUGUGACAAAAGAGCAGAUUUACUCCCUGAACAACACUCGCUGUUGUCGAACCUUAUUUUCAGUGGAGUAGAAGCGCGGCGAUGUUGAGUACUCACUUGGAGAAACAAUGAAUCAUACAUUAUGUAGAAGCCUCUUAUCAGCAAUAAACGGCAGUAUUAGGAUGCAAAUACAUGCACACUCCAGCUGUGAAGUGGCAGCUGCUCCUGGAACAGCACCUCCAAAACUUCAACUCAGUGUUUAUUUCUCCUGCUCCCCUCUGAUAACACUUCGUUUAAUGACACUGCUCUCAGUCUGUUCAUCUUCGACAUUUUGUUUUUAAUGUUUCUUACUUUAUGUUCAGAGAAAUGUUUCCUUUGCCUGCCUUAAUUUUAUUCCUUUGUUUAUUAUUCCACCUAUCAUUUUUGCUUUUUAAUCACAAUACGCUACAGCUAAAGCGAGAUUUCAAACUGUAAAGCAAUUUUUUAGAUAAAAUAAAGUAAAUAAAAUAUAAUUUACAGAUUGCA
rnacentral:lncRNA from 1 species